ensembl:lncRNA
AUGGUUGGGAGCAGCACAGUUAUGAGACAAACACUGUUCUCAGUUUUUAUGUUUGCGAUAAUUACAUUAAAUGGAUAUAGUCAGGCUUCUGGCAAAAAUGAAAAAUGUCCUGCAAAGCAGGAAACCUCAUGUGAGAGUCUGCGCACGACUAAGGGAUUCACUUACCCCGUGCCCUUGAACAUCCCACCCGGAGAUUGCGAAUAUGCGUGGUAUCUGAUGAAUGGAACAUGUGUUGCUCAUUCAGAUGGAAAAAUGUUAGGACCUGUAGUGGCUAUGACCUUCCAGAAUCAGACUGUAAGUGCCUGUGAGGACCUGCAGUGGCAACUUCACUGUGACAACAUUCAGUUUCAUUGUACUAUCAGUUACACAGUUACAGACCUUGAGAGAAAACAAGAUGGCAACCAUAAUGGCUAUAUUUCAGCUGGUUUACCUGGCUGGGGUACUGCUUUAAUUGGGAUUGGCAUUGGGAUUGGAAUUCUUGGUGCAUUGAUUGCUAUUUGGUUUCAUCAUCGAAACAGGUCAAGUGGUUAA